AUUGAACGCUGUCGGCAGGCCUAACACAUGCAAGUCGAACGAGUGGUGGACGGGUGAGUAAUGUCUGGGAAACUGCCUGAUGGAGGGGGAUCAUUCCUGGAAACGGUUGCUAAUACCGCAUACCAUCAGAUGUGCCCCGAUGGGAUUAGCUUGUUGGUGGGGUAACGGCUCACCAAGGCGACGAUCCCUAGCUGGUCUGAGAGGAUGACGAGCCGCACUGGAGCUGAGACACGGGCCAAACUCCUACGAGAGGCAGCAGUGGGGAGUAUUGCGCAAUGGGCGCAAGCCUGAUGUAGCCAAGCCGCGUGUAUGAAGAAGGCCAUAGGGUUAUAAAGUACUGUCGGCGGGGAGGCGUUACCCGCAGAAGAAGCACCGGCAUGCUCCGUGCCAGCAGCCGCGGUAAUUC
rnacentral:rRNA from 1 species